rnacentral:rRNA from 1 species
AUGGAAGCUCGUCGGCGUCUUCAUCCGCCACCCGGUGCGGAGCUCUCCCGCCCUCAGCCUCGCUGGGUGAUGCUAGAUCGCUUCGUCCACUACAAGGCGUACGCUGGUGAGGCUGUUGCGGAGGAGGUAAUGGACGGCACGCAAUCGGCGAUCUCCUCCACCUGCACCAACAUAAGCAUCGCCGUCUCUCUCAGGGUUGCUGAACCGCCCGCUGUGUCCCGUCUCUACCUCCACUGGCCCGAGCGAUUCAUGACGGCGUCGUUGAGCCAGGUGAGUCAGCCGUUCAUCAUCGCGGCUCACGGCCGCUCCAUACUUUUCCAGGCGUAUGCCCCCUUCGUUGGAGAUAGUUGUCCGGCAUUCUACUAUUACCCCAUAGACUAUUUCCUCUACACAGCCUCUGGCUCAGAGAAGUCUCCUUGUCUCAUGCGACUCCCGCCUUGCUUCGAUGGUGGGGACAAGAACCCGGACGUGGAUUUGUACUUCCACCCGUACCGUCUCCAGCAGCUGCGAUCUAUGUGGCGUGAUGACAUUGGCCUCCUUUGCCGUGGCAAGGGGGAGUUCGUGGUGGCGCAGCUCACAUUUGGCGGCCAGCUCUGCGUGCUACACCGUAAACCUGGGGAGGAGGAGGGCGACAUGAAUUGGAGCGUUGAAAAUAUGCCCUUACCUGACGGCGAUGACAUCCCAAACCUGCUGUGUGGUUCGUGGCAAACGGACGCCAUCGUCCCCUAUGGUGGUUGUUACCUGUGCUGGGCGGAUUGCUACCUGGGCUUGCUUUUUGUCGGUGUCAUUGACAAGCGGACGAAGCCCCCGUGCUACGUCCCCUUACCUGAUGGUCUGGAUUCCAAUCGUCUGUGCAUUGACCCAGGGUAUCCUGACCCGGCCCGUCGUGUCUGUGUCUCUGAGUCCGGCUUGAUUAACCUCAUAUGUGUUGGUGAUCGUGCUGGCUGCAGUGUGUGUGCCAGUUCUUAUUCUGCUUUCACUAUCACAGUAUGCACUUUCACCAACUUAAGGGAAAAGAAAUGGAUGAAAUGUUUCACCAUGGAAGACAUCAAGUUCUGGGCUGCUCUUGAUUUUGACAAGCGUCUUCCGCAUGUGCUACCAGAGUUCCCUACCAUCAGCUUGGUUAAGCCUGAUGUUGUUUCCUUCCGGUUGAAUGGUGGUAAUAAACUUUUCUGGCUGAUUGAGAUUGACAUGAAGAAGGAAGUGCUGGGGUCAACCAGUCUCUACAUCUUUGAAGAAGAAGAAGAGAAAUGCUCCACUGACAUGGCCCACUGGAGAUCAUUUCCUGGCUACUCCUUUGUUCCCAGCCCGUUCACCCGAUACUUGGACCAGCAUGCCAUCAGAAGAAUAAUGAGGUCGUGCUGCUAG